ACAAGAAACACUAACAGCAGACAGACAUGGCCCACAUCAGAUUCAAGCUUUUGGGAAAAAGUCGCAUUGAUCAUGUAAAUGGACGAAGGUUCAAGCUGAUUCAAACGGCGCAAUACAACGAGAAGGUCAGAAGAAACAGGGAUUCUGCAUUUUUGGGGCAUGUAAGAAGUUGGCUUUUAAGGGGGAACAUUGCAAUAAAGAGUGGGUCUUUGCGGGACAAAGCAAGGGAUCACAAUGUGAGGGAAAGUUCCAGUACCAAGGGUAACUACAAGCAGCAUGCAGAGUAAUUGCACGUUACGAUGCGUUACUUGCUGAGCAUAUGGACGCCUCUAUUGUCUUCUCUGGGAUGUUCGAAAUCAAGUUAUAGCUUCCAUCACACCAUCCAUUAAAAGUUAGAUUAACAGAGAGGUUGAUUAGAUUAACAGAGAGGUUUAUGCAGACCCCUUCUUUCACAUUGGACAAAUGGAUGAACACCACAGACAUCAGCUGUCGCUCGCAGUUGUUGGUUAUCGUCAGCUUAGUCCCCUCCUGUUCCCUGAUUAAGAGGGGAUUACCAAUCCACUACCAAUGUCAACUCUCUCCUGAUAUGAACUGAAGCUACGUCGCAUGUGCCCUCUCAGCCACUGGCACAUUGAAUGUUUCCUCUCCAAGCAACUGAGAAGCCCUGUCAAUGUUCUCUUCAACUUCUGACCUGUCUUCAGUGGUAGAGUUGAGCUAUUCUCCAACCCCAUCCAUCCAUGAUGAGCCUGACCUGUCUUCAGUGGUAGAGUUGAGCUAUUCUCCAACCCCAUCCAUCCAUGAUGAGACUGACCUGUCUUCAGUGGUAGAGUUGAGCUAUUCUCCAACCCCAUCCAUCCAUGAUGAGCCUGACCUGUCUUCAGUGGUAGAGUUGAGCUAUUCUCCAACCCCAUCCAUCCAUGAUGAGCUUGUCUAGCACUGAAGUCAUGUCAUUCCAAUUCCUCAUAAUAUUUUACUAUAAAUGUCUUUGAUAAAUGUUUUAGGUUACAUUUAUUUUGUCUUUAACGGUUUUUGAAACAUGCUUUGCCGUCUCCGUGCGGUCCACACCCCCAAAUCAAGAGACUGUGAAUCUCACCCUGUGUCACGUCCUGACCAGCAGAUGGAGCUAGUGUUUUAGUUUUGGGGUCAGGACGUGGCAUGUUUGUAUUGGUUAAAUGUUGGGUGGAUGAUUGGGACUUCCAAUUGAAGGCAGGUGUGUAUAGUUGCCUUUGAUUGGAAGUCCUAUAUAGGUGUGUGUGUUUUUCUUUGGGGUUGUGGGUGGUUGUUUUUUGCACUGCG